GUUAUAUGGUCAAGUGAAGAAGCGCAUACGGUGGAUGCCUUGGCAGUCAGAGGCGAUGAAAGACGUGGUAGCCUGCGAAAAGCUUUGGGGAGUCGGCAAACAGACUGUGAUCCAGAGAUCUCUGAAUGGGGGAACCCAGCCAGCAUAAGCUGGUUAUCUUGUACUGAAUACAUAGGUGCAAGAGGCGAACCAGGGGAACUGAAACAUCUAAGUACCCUGAGGAAAAGAAAUCAACCGAGAUUCCCUUAGUAGUGGCGAGCGAACGGGGACCAGCCCUUAAGUUGGUUUGAGAUUAGUGGAACGCUCUGGAAAGUGCGGCCAUAGUGGGUGAUAGCCCCGUACACGAAAAUCUCUUAUCAAUGAAAUCGAGUAGGACGGAGCACGAGAAACUUUGUCUGAAUAUGGGGGGACCAUCCUCCAAGGCUAAAUACUACUGACUGACCGAUAGUGAACUAGUACCGUGAGGGAAAGGCGAAAAGAACCCCGGAGAGGGGAGAGAAAUAGAUCCUGAAACCGUAUGCGUACAAGCAGUGGGAGCCUACUUUGUUAGGUGACUGCGUACCUUUUGUAUAAUGGGUCAGCGACUUAUAUUCAGUGGCGAGCUUAACCGAAUAGGGGAGGCGUAGCGAAAGCGAGUCUUAAUAGGGCGUUUAGUCGCUGGGUAUAGACCCGAAACCGGGCGAUCUAUCCAUGGGCAGGUUGAAGGUUAGGUAACACUGACUGGAGGACCGAACCGACUACCGUUGAAAAGUUAGCGGAUGACCUGUGGAUCGGAGUGAAAGGCUAAUCAAGCUCGGAGAUAGCUGGUUCUCCUCGAAAGCUAUUUAGGUAGCGCCUCAUGUAUCACUGUAGGGGGUAGAGCACUGUUUCGGCUAGGGGGUCAUCCCGACUUACCAAACCGAUGCAAACUCCGAAUACCUACAAGUGCCGAGCAUGGGAGACACACGGCGGGUGCUAACGUCCGUCGUGAAAAGGGAAACAACCCAGACCGUCAGCUAAGGUCCCAAAGUCAUGGUUAAGUGGGAAACGAUGUGGGAAGGCUUAGACAGCUAGGAGGUUGGCUUAGAAGCAGCCACCCUUUAAAGAAAGCGUAAUAGCUCACUAGUCGAGUCGGCCUGCGCGGAAGAUGUAACGGGGCUCAAACCAUGCACCGAAGCUACGGGUAUCACCUUUUGGUGAUGCGGUAGAGGAGCGUUCUGUAAGCCUGUGAAGGUGAGUUGAGAAGCUUGCUGGAGGUAUCAGAAGUGCGAAUGCUGACAUGAGUAACGACAAUGCGAGUGAAAAACUCGCACGCCGAAAGACCAAGGUUUCCUGCGCAACGUUAAUCGACGCAGGGUUAGUCGGUCCCUAAGGCGAGGCUGAAAAGCGUAGUCGAUGGAAAACAGGUUAAUAUUCCUGUACUUCCAGUUAUUGCGAUGGAGGGACGGAGAAGGUUAGGCCAGCCUGGCGUUGGUUGUCCAGGUUUAAGGUGGUAGGCUGGAAUCUUAGGCAAAUCCGGGAUUUCAAGGCCGAGAGCUGAUGACGAGUUGCCUUUAGGCGACGAAGUGGUUGAUACCAUGCUUCCAAGAAAAGCUCCUAAGCUUCAGAUAACUGGGAACCGUACCCCAAACCGACACAGGUGGUUAGGUAGAGAAUACCAAGGCGCUUGAGAGAACUCGGGUGAAGGAACUAGGCAAAAUGGCACCGUAACUUCGGGAGAAGGUGCGCCGGCGAGGGUCAAGGACUUGCUCCGUAAGCCCAUGCCGGUCGAAGA
rnacentral:rRNA from 2 species